CGCCUGUUUAACAAAAACAUGGUUUUUUGUUAAUUAAUAUAAGAUCAGGCCUGCCCAUUGAUUUAUAUAAAUUAAAAGGCUGCAGUAUUUUAACUGUACGAAGGUAGCAUAAUCAUUUGUCUUUUAAUUGGAGGCUAGUAUGAAUGGUUUGAUGAGAAUUUAACUUUCUUUGAUUAAUUAAAUUGAAUUUAAUAUUUUAGUUAAAAAGCUGAGAUAUUUUUAUUGGACGAGAAGACCCUAUAGAAAUUUACUUUUUUUAUAUAAGUUUAUUUUUUGUUUUUAUAAUUAACUUAUUUGAUGAAAAGUUUUGUUGGGGCGACAGUGGAAUUUAUUUAACUUUCAUUAAAUUUUAACAUUGAUUUAUGUUUUGAUCCAAUUUUAUUGAUUAUAAGAUUAAUUUACCUUAGGGAUAACAGCGUAAUUUUUUCGGAGAGUUCUUAUUGAUGAAAAAGUUUGCGACCUCGA
rnacentral:rRNA from 1 species